GAUCCUGGCUCAGGAUGAACGCUGGCGGCGUGCCUAACACAUGCAAGUCGAGCGAAGUGAUUUAGCGGAAGUUUUCGGAUGGAAGUUGGAUUGACUGAGCGGCGGACGGGUGAGUAACGCGUGGGUAACCUGCCUCAUACAGGGGGAUAACAGUUAGAAAUGACUGCUAAUACCGCAUAAGCGCACAGCAUCGCAUGAUGCAGUGUGAAAAACUCCGGUGGU
rnacentral:rRNA from 1 species